GAGGAGAAUAUGAGAGGAGAGGAGAGUAGGAGACGAAAGGAGAAUAGGAGAGGAGAAGAGAAGAGAAGAGAAGAGAAGAGAAGAGAAGAGAAGAGAAGAGAAGAGAAGAAAGAGAAGACAGAGACUGUAUCAGGUCUAUAACACAGAGAGACAGAGACUGUAUCAGGUCUAUAACACAGAGAGACAGAGACUGUAUCAGGUCUAUAACACAGAGAGACAGAGACUGUAUCAGGUCUAUAACACAGAGAGACAGAGACUGUAUCAGGUCUCUAACACAGAGAGACAGAGACUGUAUCAGGUCUAUAACACAGAGAGACAGAGACUGUAUCAGGUCUAUAACACAGCUCCUCCUGACAGAGACUGUAUCAGGUCUAUAACACAGAGAGACAGAGACUGUAUCAGGUCUAUAACACAGAGAGACAGAGACUGUAUCAGGUCUAUAACACAGAGAGACAGAGACUGUAUCAGGUCUAUAACACAGAGAGACAGAGACUGUAUCAGGUCUAUAACACAGAGAGACAGAGACUGUAUCAGGUCUAUAACACAGAGAGACAGAGACUGUAUCAGGUCUCUAACACAGAGAGACAGAGACUGUAUCAGGUCUCUAACACAGAGAGACAGAGACUGUAUCAGGUCUAUAACACAGCUCCUCCUGACAGAGACUAAGACACAUUGAAGAGACAGAGAGUUGUGAAUCAUCUCCUCAUGAUGACAACCAAGUCUGUUAUGUUAUGGUUUAU